AUCUGUAAGUGAAGUAUAUUUAAGUUUGCAGAAAGCACAAAUCUUUUUAAAGCUCUUUGACUUUUUUUUUCUUUCUCUUGGUUAUUGGGAGUGCGCACACUUAGUUUUUUCAUCUUACAUUUUUUCUUUAGUAUGCUUUGGAAGCACUGCUCUGCACUGUUUAUAAAUCACAUUUUAAGCCCUCUUCAAAAUGUCUUGGCUCCUGAAUGGCUUGAAAUCAUCUGCACUUAGGGUGUGCUGAGGCCCCUAAGUUGGUUCGGUGGUUCACCUGCUUUCUCCCUGUAUUCUGCACCACACUGGUUGCAAUCAGUUGUUUCUAAAGUUGUUUCUAAUCUGAUCUGUUUGGGUGCAGAGCUUUGCUUUGUACAACUUUGCCAUUUCGACUGACACCUGGUGAGUGUGGUUUCUCUAUUCAAAGUAAGCUGCUCAUCUGAACUUGGCAGUUAAUAAGCAUAGCGUUACGUCUUAGUGGUCAAACAACUGAGAUCAAACUGUUCCGUUUCUGUAAUUGCCAGAAAGCUGCGGCUUUCCUUUUUACGUGUAGUCACAUGUGCACGUGAUAGGAAAGGAAUGAGAGUGGUUCUUAUAAUUGGUUUUGACCUUUCUUUUUUUUCUUGAAAGUGUGAUUUAUAAUUGUUUUAUUUCUGUAUGAGCCGUAUUUGGUACAGGUUACGCAUCCUUGUAGUGUUUUGUCAGUUAAUGGUUUGCAUACUGUCAUAAAUUGUAAGAGGUGUCUUGAGAAGAUUUUAGUCCUUUGGAGUACAGGCAUUGUUAGCCUCUUGUUCAUCUGUCUUUUGCACUGCUACAGGAAAGCUUUUCAAGGUUCAGUAGCUUUGCUUUAACCUGCAAAUACAAUUAAAUUCAAUGAAGCACUGAAAGGAAUAAGGUGUUGGGCAUACUAUAUAUUUCUUGACCCGCACACUUCGUGAAAGGAAAAUAAAUAAGAGUAAUAGGCACUGUCAAAAAUAACUUUGUUAUACUUCAGAGGAGAUGCUGUUUUUGCUGAGCCAGGUGAUCUGUUCAUCUUUCCUGUAAAAAAAUAAAACAGUGGGUAUAUUUAGUUGAAAUGCAGUCGGUGUAACCCAAAAGCAUUCACUGUGUAAGUAUUAUAGAAUUUAGACCAGGUGUCUUGUGACAGCAUGCUCUUAAGCUUUCCCAAUACACUUGUAUGCUGACUUUUUAUCUCACGGUGUUUGUUCUAAAACUGUGAAAAUCAGCUAUUUAUCAUUUAUAUUCCAUGGAACAUCUUUAAGAUUUGGAAGGCAAGGCCUGCAUAGCCAGCUCACCAACCCCACCAAGUGGCAAGGGAUGAUUAAGUACUACAAUUUUCAUACUGACUCAAAAUCUAUGUGGCCUUUCAAGGUUAUGUUUGUUUGUUUUUAUUCACUGUUGUUUUUUUUUUCUUUGCCUGUGGAAGAGCUGUGGGUAUUUUUGUUGUUUUGUUUUGUGUGUGGGGGGUUGUUUCUUUGAGAGCAAGGGGAAGUGGUAGAGAAGAAAGCAUGUCUGAAGACUGUGCAUUUAAGUAGCUAAAAUCUUCAGUACUUUUGUGCAUCUCAGGUUGGUUUGAGCCUGUCACUGUUCCUGGUGUUAGCUAAAUGGCUUUCUUCACACAAGUUCUGCAUGUGACAGCUCUGUCCAAGCACCCUUUUACAGACAGCUUAGUGAGCUCUGUGGUAGGGUUGGAAGUUGCUCCUAAACAAGGCCAGCUACCACUGGAGCUAGGACAGGUAGGCAGAGAGAUGCCUCUGGUAUGAAAGGUACCUUGGAGUCUUGCAGCCAGGUGCUCUGGGUGACGUGUGCAUACUGGUGGUACUGAUGGGAGCUGCCUGGGGUCUGGAGAUGCUUCAGUGGCUCUGUGGCAUAUGUGUAGUUCAGCUGCACGGUGCAUCUGCAGUAAAUCAGCAUGGAGUUUGCAGCCUACGAUUUAAUCAGAAGCACAGCAUGUGUUCCCUAAGCCUGCUAUUUCCUGGAAAUGCCAACCUAACUGUCCUUGUAUUGCGUAUGCUUUUGUUUUCUCUGUACAGAGAACCUGGUCUCAGUGAAACAGAGGUGACCCUCGAUCAGUGUUUAAGAUUUUUUUCAGUGUUUACCAUUCCAGUUAGGUGCUUCCAGAAAAUGAUGUGCUGAACUUCUGCUUCAGUGUGCUGGCUCACACAGACCUCAUUCCUCAAAGUCUGACUUUCCCAGGUGUUGCACAAUGAGUUGGAAUGCUUGAGGUGAGUGGAGAGUUUCGCCAGCUGGCAGGGGACCCAAAGUUAGGUGUGAGCUGAAGGAAACGGUGAAAGGAAGACAUUCUAACUACAGAAUGAAGAUUGAAGGGUAAAUGGACCAUCUGAAGCGUAUGUCAAACAUCAGCAUUUCAAAAAAUGGUGAAAUGAGUAACGUAGCCCUAGUUACCGAUGAGUAGAAGCACACUGGGAUAGGGCAAUGCAGAGGAAAAUAAGCUGCAUCACAGAAUUGCAGGGGUUGGAAGGGACCUUGAGAGAUCAUUGAACCCAACCCACCUGCUAAAGUAGGUUCCCUAGAGCAGGUCGCACAGAUAGACAUCCAGAUGGGUCUUGAAUAUCUCCAUAGAGGGGUUUUCCACAGGCUCUCUGGGCAACCCGUUCCAGUGCUCUGUCACCCUUUCUGCACGUUUGUGUGGAACUUCCCAUGUUCAAGUUUUAGGCCAUUACUCCUUGACCUGUUACCAUACACCCCCAAGAAGAGCCUGGCCUCAUCCAUUUGCCUCCCACCUCCCUUUAGAUGUUACAAACAUUAAUCAGGUCCGGCCUCAGUCUUCUUUUCCCCAGGUUGAACAAUCC
rnacentral:lncRNA from 1 species